AGCAGCCGCGGUAAUUCCAGCUCCAAUAGCGUAUAUUAAAGUUGUUGCAGUUAAAAAGCUCGUAGUUGAAUUUCGGGAUCAAUACGUCGGUCGUGCUCCGGUACGUACUGGCGUAAUUGGUUUCUACCUUCUGAAGAACCUCGAUGUCAUUAAUUUGGUGUCUUGGGGAAUCAGGACUGUUACUUUGAAAAAAUUAGAGUGUUUAAAGCAGGCUCGCGCUUGAAUACAUUAGCAUGGAAUAAUGAAAUAGGACGUUUGAUUCUAUUUUGUUGGUUUCUAGGAUUGACGUAAUGAUUAAUAGGGAUAGUUGGGGGCAUUAGUAUUCAAUUGUCAGAGGUGAAAUUCUUGGAUUUAUUGAAGACUAACUACUGCGAAAGCAUUUGCCAAGGAUGUUUUCGUUAAUCAAGAACGAAAGUUAGGGGAUCGAAGACGAUCAGAUACCGUCCUAGUCUUAACCAUAAACUAUGCCGACUAGGGAUCGGAUGAUGUUAAUUUUUAAUGACUCAUUCGGCGCCUUACG
rnacentral:rRNA from 1 species